rnacentral:rRNA from 1 species
UACGUAGGGGGCAAGCGUUGUCCGGAUUCAUUGGGCGUAAAGAGCGUGUAGGCGGCCAGGUAGGUCGGUUGUGAAAACUGGAGGCUCAACCUUCAGAGGUCGACCGAAACCAUCUGGCUAGAGUCCGGGAGAGGAGAGUGGAAUUCCUGGUGUAGCGGUGAAAUGCGCAGAUAUCAGGAGGAACACCGGUGGCGAAGGCGGGUCUCUGGGCCGUAACUGACGCUGAGGAGCGAAAGCAUGGGUAGCGAACAGG